ensembl:misc_RNA 7SK 7SK RNA
AGAUGGGAGGGCAAUCUGGCUGCGACAUCUGUCACCCCAUUGAUCGCCAGGGUUGAUUCGGCUGAUCUGGCUGGCUAGGAGGAUGUCCCCUUCCUCCCUCAAGGAUCCAUGUGUGUCCCUCCCAAAGCUACGCGCUUGGUCCAAGAGAACAAACACUCCCGAUAGAGGAGGACCUUCCUCGGUCAAGGGUAUACGAGUAGCUGUGCUCCCCUGCUAGAACCUCCAAACAAGCUCUCAAAAAUAGUAGCCAGCUCCUUCAAUAUAGUCAGAUGUAUACAAGGAACACUGAGAAAUUUUAAGAAAUAUAUUGCUUGUAUUUUGGGACAGGGUAGAACAGGAU